ACGUACCUAAUGAGUUGUGGAGUGGAUUGAUUGCUUACUGGAAGAUUCCUGCUGUUAUUAAGAAAUCAGAUGCUGCAAGGAAAGCCCGAAUGUCCGAACCUGAUGGACCCGGGACUGGAAUAAGUAAGCGUGGGGGUGUGUCUGUCGAAGAGAAAGCUUUGAAGAUGGCAGUCGAGAGAGGUGUCUCAGUGAGGGAUUGUAUGUAUGACUCGUUCCACGCACUACACACUUACACAUAUAAAAGGGCUGCUGAUAUAGAUGUAAGUUUUAUGAAUAGAAUUGAUGGUUGCAUAAGUAGUAGAUAAUUAUUUAUUUAGUUAGAUUUAUAUUGAUUUAAAAUUCAUUGGUUGGCUUAUUUUGAAAGAGCAACAUGGUAGGUCAUAGUUGAGAUAUGUGGCAGAUUGACGCCGUUGUUGUGAGAAAUCAAGAAUUAAAGUCAGUUUGUCAUUGGACUUCUUAGGAAAACAGUGAAAAAAAUUGAUUUAUUGACAAAGUCCCACAAUUUCGAUUGAUACCAUUCAUUAAUAUGUAUAUCAAUGGAAAUAUGUGGAUUCUUGAAUAUAUCUAAA